rnacentral:rRNA from 1 species
GAACGCUGGCGGCGUGCUUAACACAUGCAAGUCGAACGAGAAUCUACGGAUCGAGGAUUCGUCCAAGAGAAGUAGAGGACAGUGGCGGACGGGUGAGUAACGCGUGAGGAACCUGCCUUUCAGAGGGGGACAACAGUUGGAAACGACUGCUAAUACCGCAUGACACAUUGGAGUCGCAUGGCUCUGAUGUCAAAGAUUUAUCGCUGAAAGAUGGCCUCGCGUCUGAUUAGCUAGUUGGUGAGGUAACGGCCCACCAAGGCGACGAUCAGUAGCCGGACUGAGAGGUUGACCGGCCACAUUGGGACUGAGAUACGGCCCAGACUCCUACGGGAGGCAGCAGUGGGGAAUAUUGGGCAAUGGGCACAAGCCUGACCCAGCAACGCCGCGUGAAGGAAGAAGGCUUUCGGGUUGUAAACUUCUUUUGUCAGGGACGAGUAGAAGACGGUACCUGACGAAUAAGCCACGGCUAACUACGUG